rnacentral:rRNA from 1 species
CCCUUAGAUGUCCGGGGCCGCACGCGCGCUACACUGAAGGAAUCAGCGUGGCUUUGUCCCUGACCCGAAAGGGUUGGGAAACCCGUUGAAUCUCCUUCGUGAUAGGGAUUGGGGCUUGAAAUUGUUCCCCAUGAACGAGGAAUUCCCAGUAAGCGCGAGUCAUAAGCUCGCGUUGAUUACGUCCCUGCCCUUUGUACACACCGCCCGUCGCUACUACCGAUUGAACGGUUUAGUGAGGGCCUCGGAUUGGUCUCGGCCCGCUCUUUACCGGGCGGCGCCGUUGGUCGAGAAGACGCUCGAACUUGAUCGUUUAGAGGAAGUAAAAGUCGUAACA